UACAGGGGGUGCAAACGUUGCUCGGAAUUAUUGGGCGUAAAGCGCGCGUAGGCGGCUACUUAAGUCGGAUGUGAAAGCCCCUGGCUCAACUGGGGAAGUGCACCCGAAACUGAGUGGCUUGAGUACUAAAGAGGGUCGCGGAAUUCCCGGUGUAGAGGUGAAAUGCGCAGAUAUCGGGAAGAACACCCGUGGCGAAGGCGGCUCUCUGGGACGGUACUGGCGCUGAGACGCGAAAGCGUGGGGAGCGAACAGG
rnacentral:rRNA from 1 species